ACGAACGCUGGCGGCGUGCUUCACACAUGCAAGUCGAACGGUGAAGCGCCUUCCUUUUUGGUGGGUGUGGAUGAGUGGCGAACGGGUGAGUAACACGUGAGUAACCUGCCCCCUUCUUCUGGAUAACCGCAUGAAAGUGUGGCUAAUACGGGAUAUUCUGGGUCUGUCGCAUGAUGGGUCUGGGAAAGAUAUUGUUUCGGUGGGGGAUGGGCUCGCGGCCUAUCAGCUUGUUGGUGGGGUGAUGGCCUACCAAGGCGGUGACGGGUAGCCGGCCUGAGAGGGUGGACGGUCACACGGGGACUGAGACACGGCCCAGACUCCUACGGGAGGCAGCAGUGGGGAAUAUUGCACAAUGGGCGCAAGCCUGAUGCAGCGACGCCGCGUGAGGGAUGGAGGCCUUCGGGUUGUGAACCUCUUUCGCCAGUGAAGCAGGCCUGCCUCGUUUGUGGGUGGGUUGACGGUAGCUGGAUAAGAAGCGCCGGCUAACUACGUG
rnacentral:rRNA from 1 species